rnacentral:rRNA from 1 species
GGAGUUAGCCGGUGCUUCUUCUGUGAGUGAUGUCCUUCCUGCCGGCUAUUAACCCGCAGGCCUUCUUCCUCACUGAAAGUGCUUUACAACCCGAAGGCCUUCUUCACACACGCGGCAUGGCUGGAUCAGGGUUGCCCCCAUUGUCCAAUAUUCCCCACUGCUGCCUCCCGUAGGAGUCUGGGCCGUGUCUCAGUCCCAGUGUGGCUGAUCAUCCUCUCAGACCAGCUACGGAUCGUCGCCUUGGUGAGCCGUUACCUCACCAACCAUCUAAUCCGACAUAGGCUCAUCCGAUAGCGCGAGGCCCGAAGGUCCCCCGCUUUCCCCCGUAUGGCGUAUGCGGUAUUAGCCUGGGUUUCCCCAGGUUAUCCCCCACUACCGGGCAGAUUCCUAUGCAUUACUCACCCGUCCGCCGCUCGCCACCAGGGAGCAAGCUCCCCGUGCUGCCGCUCGACUUGCAUGUGUUAGGCCUGCCGCCAGCGUUCAAUCUGAGCCANANACACAACUCANAGAGACGGCGGCGCGACGACGCG